rnacentral:lncRNA from 1 species
UGCGACCCAGGACUUGGCCAUACCAGGUAUAUAUGUUAUUGUUAAGGUUUUUGUGUAUAUGUCUUGUCCUUUUUUUUCCUUUAGGUUGUGUGGCCCAGGACUUGGCCAUACCAGGUAUAUAUGUUAUUGUUAAGGUCUUUGUGUAUAUGUCUUUGUCCUUUUUUUGUCCUUAUUUUUUUUCCUUUAGGUUGUGCGGCCCAGGACUUGGCCAUACCAGGUAUAUAUGUUAUUGUUAAGGUCUUUGUGUAUAUGUCUUGUCCUUUUUUUUUGUCCUUAUUUUUUUCCUUUAGGUUGUGCGGACCCAGGACUUGGCCAUACCAGGUAUAUAUGUUAUUGUUAAGGUCUUUGUGUAUAUGUCUUGUCCUUUUUUUGUCCUUAUUUUUUUUCCUUUAGGUUGUGCGGCCCAGGACUUGGCCAUACCAGGUAUAUAUGUUA